rnacentral:rRNA from 1 species
UGGAACUGAGACACGGUCCAGACUCCUACGGGAGGCAGCAGUGGGGAAUAUUGCACAAUGGGGGAAACCCUGAUGCAGCCAUGCCGCGUGUAUGAAGAAGGCCUUCGGGUUGUAAAGUACUUUCAGUUGUGAGGAAGGCGUUGGAGUUAAUAGCUUCAGCGUUUGACGUUAGCAACAGAAGAAGCACCGGCUAACUCCGUGCCAGCAGCCGCGGUAAUACGGAGGGUGCGAGCGUUAAUCGGAAUUACUGGGCGUAAAGCGCAUGCAGGUGGUCUGUUAAGCAAGAUGUGAAAGCCCGGGGCUCAACCUCGGAACAGCAUUUUGAACUGGCAGACUAGAGUACUGUAGAGGGGGGUAGAAUUUCAGGUGUAGCGGUGAAAUGCGUAGAGAUCUGAAGGAAUACCGGUGGCGAAGGCGGCCCCCUGGACAGAUACUGACACUCAGAUGCGAAAGCGUGGGGAGCAAACAGGAUUAGAUACCCUGGUAGUCCACGCCGUAAACGAUGUCUACUUGGAGGUUGUGGCCUUGAGCCGUGGCUUUCGGAGCUAACGCGUUAAGUAGACCGC